GACGAACGCUGGCGGCGCGCCUAACACAUGCAAGUCGAACGAGCGAGAGAGAGCUUGCUUUCUUGAGCGAGUGGCGAACGGGUGAGUAACGCGUGAGGAACCUGCCUCAAAGAGGGGGACAACAGUUGGAAACGACUGCUAAUACCGCAUAAGCGCACGACCCGGCAUCGGGUUGAGGGAAAAGGAGCAAUCCGCUUUGAGAUGGCCUCGCGUCCGAUUAGCUAGUUGGUGAGGUAACGGCCCACCAAGGCGACGAUCGGUAGCCGGACGGAGAGGUGGAACGGCCACAUUGGGACUGAGGCACGGCCCAGACUCCGACGGGAGGGAGCAGUGGGGAAUAUUGCACGAUGGGGGAAACCCUGAUGCAGCCGCGCCGGGUGGAGGAAGAAGGUCUUCGGAUUGUAAACUCCUGUUGUUGAGGAAGAUAAUGACGGUACUCAACAAGGAAGUGACGGCUAACUACGUG
rnacentral:rRNA from 1 species